UUCACUGAUUAGCCAAGUGAGUUCGAUAGAUUCUUACUAAAGAAGGUUCAAAGCGAAAGCUACCUAUCUUGAUGCGUUAUCUUUCAGAUAGUACUCUUCUUUCUUCUUCCUUGAUUUGAGUCGACUUCUUCCAUUCAUGUGGGGGAUUGUUGGAAUUAAUUGAAUUUGAUUUGGGUUUGAUUUGGGUUUAAAAUAUUAAAUGUAAUAUUUAAUGAUAUGGGUCAUUGCAAUUAAUUUAAGUGAAUUGGAAAAGUCUCCAAUAUAGGCCCAUAUGUUGACAAGCCCAUUUUAAGUGGUUUUUAUAUGGAAAGGAGUCCCACAUCGAAAGUUUACAAGAAAAUAGUCUUGUUUA
rnacentral:lncRNA from 1 species